CCCCUCUCCUGUUCCCCAAACACCCCGUUCCAGUGGAACAAAACAAACGAUGUCGAGCCAAGAGCACUCCCAUUUCCAUAUACUCGAAAAAAUAGUGGAUAGAAGAAUCCACAGCUAAUCUAAUUAUGUCUUUCAAGCCGCACGUUGCUUUUAUCGUUUCGAACCAAGUUUUAUUUGGAUCCAGUAUGUAAUUGAAUUGAUUCAAUUCUGGAAUUGUGAAUAGUUUUUGAUUCAAUCGAUACAUAAUAACCCAUC
rnacentral:lncRNA from 1 species